CUAUGAACUGGUGGUUCAUUAGUCUCCUUUUGAUAUGUCAGAACAGUAAGGGACCCUUUUAUUUUUUUCCCCUUUCUAGUAAUGCCUGUGUUCUUAAAUCAAGACAUCUUCCCUCAUCAUGCUGCAGUGGCUGAAUCUUUUUCAGAGCUUUCCUAAGUGGGUUGUAGCAAUAACGCUAAUCGUGUGCAGACAGACCAUAGAGUCAAAAGUGGGAUGCAUAAGGAAGUCAAAACCAAAGGUUUUCAGUGCUCCGGGCAGUGAAUCCUACUUCACAGCUUCAUGUUUAUUUGGAGCUGGAUGCCCCCCACCAGGUUAGCUCUUGUGUUUGUUUUCCCUAGUAGCUUCUUGCCAGCAGGACCAUAGAGCAAGCAUAGCCUUGGGAAGGCGCGAUAAGGGAGGCUCAGAAGUGCAAAUUGCUGGAUUCUAGCACUUCGAGCUGAUGAGCAAUGUGUCCUUUCUUUGGGAAGGGGUGAUGGAAGUAGCAACAAAAGAAGGUUGAGGGAUGCGGGGCUGUGAGAGCAAAGACAAGAGAUUGGGAAGGAGAGGACAAAACUCAGGAAUGUCCUUGUCUUUGUGUUUCUGCAGGGGACAGUGGAAGAGCUCCCUCUUCCUGCUUCAGCCUGCUCUAACCGUUGCAGAAAAAGCCUUCCUUGCAGGCUGGAGUGUCUCAGUGGUCCCCGCAUCCAUGAGGCACUGUAUUUCUUGCAGCAUGGAUUUGCAUACUGAAGGUUCCACAGGACAGUGUGGAUUUGCUCUGUAGGUUCACCAGACCAGCUCUGCUGCAUCACACACUGCCACCAAAGGGUUAGUUCUCAGCGCAUUCGUGGCUGAACCCAACAAACCUGCAACUCGGUGACAGAAAUCAUCUUGAUGGUGGAAGCUGUGCGUUGAUCUUCUCUCCUUGCAAAAGAACUGGUGACAGCAGAGGGGUUAUGUGGUUUUGUUUCCAUUGCAGAUACUUUAUUAAGUGGGCAUCUGGCGCCACAGCAGCACACGUGCUUCCUGAGACCUGGAGGUAAUGUACUUCUGCUGCGUGGUUUCCUGAUCUGUCCUAACUCGGGUCAGGCAGUAGGUGUGCUCUAACCUGUUCAGUGGGGCUUCUGUGAUAAACUGGUUUAAAGCCUGUUCUCUCCUCUAAAACUUUCAUUAAUACAAGUCAUAUUUUGUUGCCACAUGUGCAACAGAGAUGGCAGCUCCCAUUUAGGCUGCUACGGGAACCACAUCCAUAUGCUACACAGACUCUGUCAUGCUCUAGCGACAUACCAAUAGCAAUAGGCGGAAACCUGAGGACAACAUCAGCAAAAGCUGAGAACUCUGUAUUCCCAUGGCAGAGCAACGUUGUCAGUUGCGGGCUGGAAAUGUUUUGCUCAUGAAAAUUUCUAGCAAGGUGUGGAGCGCAGAAUGAAUUAACCUGCUUUCUUCUUUGACCUGUUUUUUAGACUGGCUCUUUCUGGCUGUUCCUAGUACUCCUAUGCCCGUAUCAGUGGCAGGAAUGCAAUGUCACCAUUGAUACAAGCCUGGUGUAAAAGUUUGUAAUUACAAGCCAUUUUGUGAGCAAUAUGAUGGGUGAAAAAACGACCUCCAGUGGUCUGGUGAUCCCCACCCUCUUGCACUUCAAAGCAGGCAUAUGUUAAAUCGCUGCAUACAUAAAUUUGCUGCGUCAUUUUUGUACUGCUGUAACAUCAUUGGAAGCAUGCGUCAUUUCAGCAUAUUAUCAAUACUAGUACAGCUGUGAGCAUCAAAAGAGAGUAAAGAGAGUCUUCGUGCCUGCCUUUGGGGUUGAGGGGUGGAGAUUAGAUUGUCCGUGUAUUAUGUUUUGACAGUAGCUUCUCUCCUGGUAUUCACGUAAAUAGUUAUUUUUAGGAACAUCAUAUAUUUCCCUGUAAUUGUUUUAAAUGCAUCAAAGAGCUCACUGAUACAAAGCCUGUGAUUUAUGGGUUCCCGCUACUUUUUAAUAGCUGAAUUUAAAUCCUGGAUUCACUGAAGCCAUUUGGAAAAUUGGGAUUAUUCCAAGCUGGAGCAAAGGGAGGGAGACUGGUGUUUUGCCAAGAUCAGCAGUGAUUCAUUCCUACAUUCAUGCUCAGCAUCCAGUGAAGGGCAGAAGCUGGGAAUGCUGUAAGGAGAGCUAGCAAGAGAUUAUCGUGUUGAAGGUGAAUCUGCCCUACUCACUCCCUCUGCUGCUAGAUAAGGUCUUUUGAAUGAGAAGGACCAAAUUCUGUCAUGGUUUUUCUUUCAUCCUCUCCAAAAGCUGAUUUAUUCAUAGAAGCCCCAAGCCAACUAACUUGCCUCCUGUCUGUAAGGCAGAGACAGAACGGAGUGCUUGCUGUCCUGAAGAAUGUCCCCAUAGGGGUGAAGGACUGGAGGAGCACCUUAGGAUAAAAUAUACUUUGGAAAUCCCUCACAAAGAGAUGUUUUAGUGACUGCUUGGAAUGAAGCAAUGCCCCUAUCAGGUUAGCCCAGCAGUCUCUGGCAGUGUGAGCAGGAGCCCUGAGGGGACCUGUAAAGGGACAGGGUGGACCCAGGACUCACUGCUGGCACAUUCUGUCACGCUCCAGUGAUAUUUGGCCCCUGGACACCCUGAGUGAGAGGCGAUCAGAGAAGAAACUAGGUUGGUGAUAGUAUAAUUAAAAUUAGGGGGUAAAUCUUGAAGUAAUACAAAAAGUGGAAACUUGCUGUGGUGUAAGAUUUACUAGGUUUUGUUUAGCCUGAGGAUGUUUAUGCUCUCAGUGCCUGCACCAGGGUUCAGAUUCCAUCUCCUAGGGCAUACAGCUAGACAAAUAGUCAUUAAUACAUGGGUGUGAGGAAUGAAAGGGGCUGUUGGUCCAUCCAGGAGCCUGUCCUUGCUCUUUCCCUCCCUUGUCUGCGCAGCUUUCAGGGGCUGUGCUCCUGCUGCGUGUCCAGUAGCCAUAGCUGUGCUUAUGGGGAGAGCGAGGCUUUUACAGCAGCGCAGCUGAAAUACUUCUCAGUUGUGAGCCCCUUGGGAACUGUCUUUCCUCAGAGAGAUCUGUCCUCCUUGUCCUCAGGCCAGCUGACAGUGGAGUAAAAUUUCUCAUCGUGUUUUAGUUCUCCUAGCCCUGGGAGAGAAGCUCGGGGAGAUGGUAGUGUUAAUGGAGCCAAGUAUCCCAGCAUGGUUCAGUCCCAGCAAAAAGGAAAGGACUUCUUUUUUUUUUCCUCUCCUGCAGAGCAGGGGCACAGCCAAAAGAAGUGUUUUCUUCUUUUCCUGAUGUGAUCAUCCCGGUUGUGUAUGUUUGAAAUACAGUAAUUCUGAGAGCACUGCUGUCGUGAUCAGGAGGCAAAAAUAAGCACAUUUAUAUUUGUGGAUAAGAGGCAGUAAUAAACCCCUGAAUUUCCAAAGACAUAAAGGAGCAUUGACAUCUAAAUACCAGAAAUUCUAAGCCCUUACCUUGCUAAUUCAUGUGGCAUUUGGAGGGGCUGUGGAUUUUUAUUUCAUCCUGGUAUUUGAGGUAUUUCCUGCUAUUAGUAUAGGAAAACCCUUGUGUGGUAAAUGCUGGCUUUUUCCUCCGUUGGUAGCCACUGAGACUUGGGUUCAUGAAAGGCAAACCAUCCUUGUCAAUACUGAAGGAUCUCAGAGGUACCUGGGAAGGAGAAAUCUCACUGGGGUUGAAUAAGGGUGUUGGUACUGUGAGUGGCUGCUAGCUGAAUGGCUGUGAGCAACAUGAAAUCUUGUCUCGAGGUCCAGGAGUCAGGGGCUUAAAGUUCGUUGAGUGGUUUCAAAAGCUAUAGUUUGUAAAAACUGUUGAUAGUCAUUUUAUCGCAGCCUCUUAAAAGUGAUCUGCUUAUAAAGGUUUCAGGUACAAGCGUUGGCCCGGGUCAGUAACCCAGGCCUUCAGAAAUUGCUGGUUUUAUUGCAGAUUAAGCUGUAGAUUGGGCCAUUUAGAUCUGUAAUGGAAAAAUAUUAGCCAACGUACUUUCCUCCCCUCCACCCUCUAUCAUCAGGGCAUAUAUCAAAUUGCACUAUCUGGCAGGGAGUUCCAAAUGUUAUUUGAGAAGAGAGAGGAAUGCAAGCGAUGUCAGCAGAAAACAGCUGAGUAGCGGUUAAAUUUCUUUGGCCUGAACCUGCUCCACAGGGAAAAAGAAACGCAACAACUGGACCUGUUUCAUUUCACCCCAGCACAAACCAUCCUUUGGAAACAGAUGAUGUUUGUGAGCAACUUCUCUACAGAAGCUGGAGUUUUGGGAUGCGGCUAGGUGGACAAAUCCUGCUCUGCUGUGGACGUGGCAGGUUGAGCUCCACAGGGCCAGCACUGGCUACGGUCCCUCAGGGAAAGCACCGGCCCUUGCGGGGCACCGGCUAUUACUGUUCCUUUGUCCAGCUGGAGCCUGUUACUUUAGAGGGGCAGCUUUAGGUUGCAUCUCCAUGGCCUGUUAAAACUUUUUAUCUAUGCUGGCUUCAAAGAUAAAAGCUUUUAAGAGCUGGCUCAAGUGAACUUGCCCGAUGCUGCGAAAGAGCAGUGGAGGUGCGUGCAAGGAGACUGUUAGCUGAGAAGUUGGACUGAGUUAAAUGGUACCCUUAAUCCCCUCGAUACUGGCAGAGUCAAGUUAAAAGGUCUUCCCCACUUGGGGUGAAGGCUUUGCACGUGUAGGUGCUGGUUCACUUCAGGGCAACGCUGUCUCCACGGUGGAAGAGCCCUCUACCCUGCUGGCAUUUGCUUUACUGCUGAGGGGAGAAGUCCCUUCCGCAGUGUCUCGUGUCAAAGGCUGGGGAUGUGUGUUGAAUUUUUGGUCCGUGGAGGCUUUUUAAAUAAACAACAAUGGAGCCAGCAAAUGGCUAGAAGCAGAAUAGCUGAACAGGAGGAGAAAACAAAAGUAAAUACAGCCCUUGGUUCUUUUCUACCAGUCAGUCUACAGUGUUAUCUGACUUCUUUGUCUUGCACUCCCUGUUUUAGCUGGAUUCUGCCUGGUUAGUCACAUAGCAAAGAUCCACAUUUUUCUUCUGAUGCUCACAGCUGUUGCAAGCAACAGGAGGUUGCAGUCCCCUGACAUGGUCCUUCUGGGGAUCUUUCUUGUCUGACUGGCGUUUAGGGUCCCUUCCCUUGCUGUCGUCUUCAGUUUGCCCCAUUUCCUGCCUCUGGAUGCUCUGAUGGAACAGCGUGGUGGUCUCUAGGAUGAAAACCCAGGUGAGCAAGGGAACAGGAGACAGCUUUUCUCCGAUUCCUUCCCAGCUCUGUUACAGCUCCCAGAGAGAGAUUUUCAGCAACAGCUACCCAGCAGUCCUACUUAGAUACCAGAGUCUGUUGUUUUGGUUUUUUUAAACUUGUUCCGGAUCUUUAGGGUUGUCUCUAGUGUAAACCUGUGUCUGUGCUUCACAAAUGUUUCCUACUGAAAUAUUUUCCAGGUGUGGUGCCCAAAAUGCAUCAGGUACCUUGGCCUAAUUCCCAUUGACUUCAGUAGGAGUUAGGCAGCUGUCAUUGCAGAAAGUGUGGACAGGUGUUAAGGGCAGGUUUGGGAGAUUUUGUAACUCCAUGCAAGAGGAGCAAAACAGACCGAAGGAAGCCAUGGUUUCUGUGAUUCUAAUUCUAUUGCAGUCAGAGGAAGUUCCUCCAUUAAUUUUAAUAAAAAGAGAAAUAAAGUACAAAUUGGGAAAUCAGAGGGAAGUCAGAGAAUUUGCCAACGAGUUUACUUUUCUUAAGGGUAUGGAAUAAUUUUCAUAAACCAAGGGAAUAUUCCUGAUUGUUGAGAUCUUCAUUCUACAUUAGAAAUAGUGUGGCUAAGUAUUUUUGUAUGUGAAAUUAAAUUCUUCAAAAAAACCUGUUUGAAUAAUUUUUCACAAGCAACUGCAGGAAUAAUUCUGACAUACUGGAAUGAUAUAGUCAAGAUCCUAAACUAAAUCCUACUUAGUACUCUGAAUCUUUUGUGUUUGAAUGUAUUUCCUCUCUUCCUCAACCCCGUUGCUGGUGCACCGGUUAUAUUGCCUAGUACGGCCUUCUGAAACAGACACAUUUUUAUUUGCAUGCAAAUUGGUAGGAGGCAGCUUGCCUCUAAAUACUGUGCUAAUCAUUACAGGUUCCUUGGUUCAUCAGGACUCUGAUGCCUAAUUGGCUGCAGGAUUGCCUGUAACUCUCGACAGCCUGAUUCCGAGCAAUAGGAAUUGUUGAAUCUACAUAAUAAAGCAAGUGUGAUGAAAGAUCGCAUGCUGAAGGCUUCUGAAAAGUGCCUCUGUCUCAGCCACAAGCUAGUAGCAGAGACGACCUUACAGCUUGCAUUAGUCAGAUGUGCUGAAGAAGAAAUAUUUGCUGGCUUUGCCUGGAAGCUCGCAGCUGGGCUACAGGAUGUAAAGCAAAGCAUCUUUUCACUGUUUCCUGUUGAACAUGAGCGGAGUACGCUGACACUGGCAAAAGUAAUUUGACCUACGGGAACAUGCCUUGUGAGGCAACACAGCGCUAGCGAAAGCUUCACCUCAGGCAUCCCGACAGCCUGGCUUAUGUGUUGUGGCGAUGCCGGCUGUACAAGCUGACAGGAUUUGUUCUCCCGAGAGAUACGAGGCUCCCCAGUUAGAGAGCGAGAUGUAAAAGGGAAGAAGCUGGAGAUAAUGGAAAACUAAAGCGAGAAGCAAAGGUGAAGCCAAGGCAAGUGCAGCCUGAGCGGCUGGCGUUUCUGCAGGGGAUCCCUGCCGCAGGGGGAGGGGAGAAUCCCCUGGUGCAUGGGCUGGAUGCCGAACAGUGGUUCAGCUCCUGCA